rnacentral:lncRNA from 1 species
GCUAAUCUUUUAUAACAAAAUCUCUCUUAUAGUUACACAUCAAAUGCAAAAGGGUCCAACAUGUCCUAACCCAUAGAAGAAAACCUCUUCUUCUCUUCACAUAAUCAAGUUAUUAUGCAAUAAAUUAUCCUAAACACAGUUUCCAUUCUGACAAAAAAUGAUUAAAAGUAAACCAGAAAAGAAGCUGAUGAAUCUGAAGAAGAGGUUGUAGAAGCAAAACUGAAGUUCCUGAGAGUGCCAAAACUUAAGCCAUGCCGCCGCGGAAAGAGGCGUUCCGUCACCCUUGCCAGCACUUCUGUGUACUCUCCCAGUAUCUCUGUCAUGACCACAACCAUUAUCAUCUUUCUUGAAGGCUCAAAUUCUUAGAAAGGAGGCUUAAGGUUAAGGGUAAGGGUCCCUAUAAGUAAGGUGAGUUUGGUAGCUAUAAGAUGUGAACUUGUGCAAAUAGAGUAUUGAAUUGUGGGGUUGAAAAGUACAUGAUAACAUGUUAUGUAUAUAUAGAUACAAAGAACGAGUGGUUAGGCAAAAAAGAUUAGAACUCUGGCACUUUCUGGUGAAUGUGACAGGGAAAUUAGGCACAUAAUUAUUAGCAUACUUUUAUGUGGUAAUUACCAAAAAGGGUUAUAUAUCUAAUAAGAUGCAAC